GACAAUUGGAGGGGUUUGAAUAGACCUAACUAAUUGGCGUUCUAAAUUGGCCUAGCAAUCGAUGCAUCUAGCAAACAACCGUCGAUGGCGACCCACAUUGUAAGUGGCCACAUAGGUGAACUUAUCUGUAGUUAAAAGUCCACCUGACUAAGCCAAAGAUUCAGAGACUGAGAAAACACAAGCUGAAGAGGUUUUAGUUUUCAAUUAAACACAUUGUGUUUGGAACUGCUAAAUUCUACGUGACACAUCCGAAAUUCCUAGAAUUAGAAUUCAUCUGUGGAUGAAAUCAUGAUAAUCAACUAAAGUUUGGUGGCUGAGGUACAAAUCAAGGAUGAAAUGUUAUCAUGAGACAUUUGAAGUCAUGGUUGUAGACAGUUCUGGUUAUAAGGUGGUCUACCAAAAAUGAUAAAAUCAUAAAAAAUGGAUUCCUAAAGAUCAACUAAACCAUUACCCUUUCUCAAAGUUCAGUUGACAAAAUAUAGCACAGCCGCAAGAUGCUUCAUUAGCAAGUAUUGGUCCCAGAUGUUGCACAACAUACUGUACCUAAAUCCAGUAUGCACAUAGAAGACUCUUAACACAACCAAAUAACGUAAUUUAAACUACAUAUAACAUAAAUGGAGCUCAUGUUGUAGUUUAAUGUAGAGUGGUUUCAAUUCACAAACAUGAGAAGUCAUUUACCAUGGCCUCCGUUAAUCUACUUCCAAAUUUAAGGAACGUGAUCAUCUAGACAACCACAUGCGGGUGGCGAAACAAGCUGUACUUUUCUACCACGCGAUGACACUGCCGUCGAUAGUGCUUGGAUCAGGAGAGCUUAUAUAAAGAGUACUACUGUGAGACAUUUUUCUUUCGAUUCGUGACCCCCGGUAUGUAAGUAUCCUAUGUUAACAGGGGAAUAUUAUCUGUGUGGAAGUCGACAGUAUAUUUUGGUAUGCUUUUGUUGGGUUUUAUUAGGAUUAAUAUGUAUUAAAAUUUUCGGAUUUAGCUGGGGAUAGUCACUUGACAGAUUACUUGACUACUCACGACUAUUAAUUGAUUAGUGACUUUAGAACGAGUGUGUAGUCAUGUUGUCAUGGUAGGGGGGCUACUGUGUUUGAGAUCGUAUAUUAAUCAAAAUUGAAUUGUAAUGUUAAGUGUAGUUACUUGCAUGGGGAGAAAUUUUCUUUGUUAUUGUCUUAUUGAAUGGGUUUUUUAACUGCUAACAAGCAGGAUGAAUGUGGAUAGCUUUCUAUUAAAUAUUGAUAUAUUAUGGAAGUGUGAAUAGAAUGUGUUAUUUUAAGGUUGAUCCACCAUUGUAAAAGCAGUUGCAUGUGCUAUGUGAUCUGUAAUUCUUGGUUCUCCUGUGGUGUUUAAAUAUGAAUUAUUUGAAAAUAUGUUGGGCCAACACUUCAUAUUGAGGCAGCCUAGUGCCAUGAUGACAGAAGGAGGUAGCUAAAAGUGAAGCUCCUCUUUUCAGUUUCUGGUGUACUGAUUUAGGUUGUGGCUUUUGUAUCACUGGCUAUGAUUUUGUUGAUUGUAUCGAGUCUGUUACAGUGGACUUAUUUCAGAAUGUUUUAGUUCAGGUGAUGAGCCGAUGACCAACCUAGUGGAUUCUUGGAUACUUAAUCACACGUGGUCAACACAAUAUCAGAUUAUUGCUUGGACGAGUCAGAGACAAACGUUUGAAAGUGAUAUUCUAGCCCUCACGACCCCAGCUGCCGUUCUGCUUGAAAAAGGCUAUAUUGCGAUUAUAAUUUCACAAAGGUCCCAAUUCAGUUAACGUGGUAGAUGCCCUACUAUACAACCCCGCAAUCUUUGCUUGCGGUCUUCCAAUGCCGUUACAUUGUUAUGCAUGCAAUUACUCAACAAGAAAUUGGGUGGAACGGUGGAGAGAACAGGGUUCGCGAAGAUCGACAAUUCGAGAUCUAAGUAAAAAUGGAGUGUCAAUUAUUUAAAGGCUUUGGAUUGGGGAAAUGGUAUUACUGACCCAUAGUGACAGCGCAGAAAAGGUUGCGUUUCGUCGCAAAUUCUUCGCGUGACAUCUCUCCGCUGAACGCCGUGAACGUCGUUUUUACCGAGUACAGUUCCAUGUUUUGACUGAAAACGGACGAAAAAUGUUGCGUAUCUACUUCGACACCUACGGAUUGCAAGAGGUUUCACAUUGCAGAAACGCGAGGAGCAAUGUAUUGAAUACAUGAUGUGGAAAGCCCGUGCUCAUGCUGGGCAUUUAUAUCGAUAACAGUUUCCUGCCUGAAGACCAAUCUGAGCAGGGCGUCACUAGUUCACAGCAACUCGGGAGUCAUUCUUCGGACAGUGGCUUCUCAUUUCUUUUUCAUACCAACGAUCAAAUUUGGUGUGACGAAUUGUUUUAGAUUGUUAAAGCAAGUUUGCCUUUCUACUAUGUUUCCACCGACGUGCAUGGCUGCCAAGCUUCGACGUUAUGUCGUUCUUUUAAUCCGUAAGAAAAACGUCGGAAUUGUCGUCGAUACCUUUGUCAAAGUGAGAACGACUAAAGCCUUAAAUCUAACUUUAGAUAAUCUUCUCGGACAAGGUACUUAGAGACCGGAUUUAACUGAGUUCGUUUUCCUUAUGGAUCUCGCGCUGAUGCCUAUAAAACUUGUCAUAACAAUUCCGAAAUGGUUUGUCAAUUGGCAUUCACGGCCGUGGAAUAUAACCUCUUAAACUAAAUAAGUCCGACUUAACUUUAGGGGUUCUCGCCCCUAGUUUCGCAUGAAGAAGGAAUGUUCGAAAGCGGUCAGAUGAGGGCUCCUAGCUUAAUCUGACUAAAAUAAAAUAACACCGCGAUUUCAGUAAAACCAAAUGGACAAAAAUCAUAAGGGUGUCAUUGAUUGGGUGUUCAGAGUUGAAUAUGCUGAAUUAACUACACGAAUAGUUUGAAUCAA